AAGGGCCCUAAGUACUCACUAAAAUCAGUUUCGUUUUCGGACUUGACGGGGCAACAGCUCUGGUUUUUAUUUGUUUUGGAAAAAUCUUGUGUCAAAAUUUAGUGUUAUUAAAAUGUUUUAAACUAAUUUUAAAGAUUUGUGAUUAAAGGACACAGAACACAGAACACAAGAUGUUUUUGCAUGUGGAAUAGCCCGCAGUUUUAAUGAAACGACUCCAUCCGUCUAAACUUUAUGGACAAACCACUACAUCUCACACCUCGGCAAUUUUCGGUGCUGAUGCUGAUUACCUAACAAAGUCUUAAAACUAUAUAAGACUAUAUUUAACUUGGCUUUUAUUCAGACUAAUUGGCUAUACUACUACUUUCACCAAUCAAAAAUGCAAAAUCGGAAAAACUGGAAUGUGCCGUCGAAACUGAAAACAUUAGUGGUUGGAUGUCGUACAUUACCCUGCGGUUAGGGUUGGUUAUGAGCAAUAAUAAUGAAACUGUAUCGUUUUAGUCUGAGCUACAAAUAUUCCAGGUAUCCAAACUCUACUUUGAUUCGAAUUACAGUAUCAUACAAUUCGGAAUGUUGCAUAAUGCAACGAGUUACAAGCUUUGCCACAUUUUUACUGCGUGGAUACCAAUAUUGCAUCGUACUAGCAAUAUAAACAUUGAACUUAUGCGUCGAAGUAUAGUAUCAUAACAAUAUUUCAUACACUAUAAUGCUGAAAUAUUGUACAAUACAACGAAUUAUAAGCUAUACGACAUUCCCACAACUCACUGCGGCGAUACCGGUUUUGUUAAAUCCGAUUUUGCACCGUACCAGUAUAGAAUGAAUAUUGAACUUCUGCAUGGAAUUAUAGUAUCAUUACAAAAACAUUAUACAUCAAAUUUAAAUAAAAAUAAGGAUUUUAA